rnacentral:rRNA from 1 species
GAUGAACGCUGGCGGCGUGCCUAAUACAUGCAAGUCGAGCGAACAGACGAGGAGCUUGCUCCUCUGACGUUAGCGGCGGACGGGUGAGUAACACGUGGAUAACCUACCUAUAAGACUGGGAUAACUUCGGGAAACCGGAGCUAAUACCGGAUAAUAUAUUGAACCGCAUGGUUCAAUAGUGAAAGACGGUUUUGCUGUCACUUAUAGAUGGAUCCGCGCCGCAUUAGCUAGUUGGUAAGGUAACGGCUUACCAAGGCAACGAUGCGUAGCCGACCUGAGAGGGUGAUCAGCCACACUGGAACUGAGACACGGUCCAGACUCCUACGGGAGGCAGCAGUAGGGAAUCUUCUGCAAUGGGCGAAAGCCUGACGGAGCAACGCCGCGUGAGUGAUGAAGGUCUUCGGAUCGUAAAACUCUGUUAUUAGGGAAGAACAAAUGUGUAAGUAACUAUGCACGUCUUGACGGUACCUAAUCAGAAAGCCACGGCUAACUACGUG